rnacentral:rRNA from 1 species
AGAGUUUGAUCAUGGCUCAGAACGAACGCUGGCGGCAUGCCUAAUACAUGCAAGUCGAACGGUGCCUUCGGGCAUAGUGGCGCACGGGUGAGUAUCGCGUGGGAACCUGCCUCUUGGUUCGGAACAACCUCGGGAAACUGAGGCUAAUACCGGAUACGACGGCUGACUGUGGUGGUUGGCUGGGAAAGAUUUAUCGCCGAGAGAGGGGCCCGCGUCCGAUUAGGUAGUUGGUGGGGUAACGGCCUACCAAGCCUACGAUCGGUAGCUGGUCUGAGAGGAUGAUCAGCCACACUGGGACUGAGACACGGCCCAGACUCCUACGGGAGGCAGCAGUAGGGAAUAUUGGACAAUGGGCGCAAGCCUGAUCCAGCAAUGCCGCGUGAGUGAUGAAGGCCUUAGGGUUGUAAAGCUCUUUUGGCGGGGACGAUGAUGACGGUACCCGCAGAAGAAGCCCCGGCUAACUUCGUGCCAGCAGCCGCGGUAAUACGAAGGGGGCUAGCGUUGUUCGGAAUUACUGGGCGUAAAGGGCGCGUAGGCGGUGUCGGAAGUCAGGCGUGAAAGCCCCGGGCUCAACCUGGGAAUUGCGUUUGAUACUCCGUCGCUUGAGUUCGGGAGAGGAGAGUGGAAUUCCCAGUGUAGAGGUGAAAUUCGUAGAUAUUGGGAAGAACACCAGUGGCGAAGGCGGCUCUCUGGACCGAUACUGACGCUGAUGCGCGAAAGCGUGGGGAGCAAACAGGAUUAGAUACCCCCGUAGUCC